UACAGAGGGUGCGAGCGUUAAUCGGAAUUACUGGGCGUAAAGCGUGCGUAGACGGUUAUUUAAGUCGGGUGUGAAAUCCCCGGGCUUAACCUGGGAACUGCAUUUGUGACUGCAUGGCUGGAGUGCGGCAGAGGGGGAUGGAAUUCCGCGUGUAGCAGUGAAAUGCGUAGAUAUGCGGAGGAACACCGAUGGCGAAGGCAAUCCCCUGGGCCUGCACUGACGCUCAUGCACGAAAGCGUGGGGAGCAAACAGG
rnacentral:rRNA from 1 species